GAUGAACGCUGGCGGCGUGCCUAAUACAUGCAAGUCGAGCGAACAGACGAGGAGCUUGCUCCUCUGACGUUAGCGGCGGACGGGUGAGUAACACGUGGAUAACCUACCUAUAAGACUGGGAUAACUUCGGGAAACCGGAGCUAAUACCGGAUAAUAUAUUGAACCGCAGGGUUCAAUAGUGAAAGACGGUUUUGCUGGCACUUAUAGAUGGAUCCGCGCCGCAUUAGCUAGUUGGUAAGGUAACGGCUUACCAAGGCAACGAUGCGUUGCCGACCUGAGAGGGUGAUCGGCCACACUGGAACUGAGACACGGUCCAGACUCCUACGGGAGGCAGCAGUAGGGAAUCUUCCGCAAUGGGCGAAAGCUUGACGGAGCGACGCCGCGUGAGUGAUGAAGGUCUUCGGAUCGUAAAGCUCUGUUAUUAGGGAAGAACAAAUGUGUAAGUAACUAUGCACGUCUUGACGGUACCUAAUCAGAAAGCCACGGCUAACUACGUG
rnacentral:rRNA from 1 species